UACGUAGGGUGCGAGCGUUGUCCGGAAUUAUUGGCGUAAAGGGCUCGUAGGCGGUUUGUCGCGUCGGGAGUGAAAUCCACUGGCUUAACUGGUGGCUUGCUUUCGAUACGGGCAGACUAGAGGUAUGCAGGGGAGAACGGAAUUCCUGGUGUAGCGGUGAAAUGCGCAGAUAUCAGGAGGAACACCGGUGGCGAAGGCGGUUCUCUGGGCAUGUCCUGACGCUGAGGAGCGAAAGUGUGGGAGCGAACAGG
rnacentral:rRNA from 1 species